rnacentral:rRNA from 1 species
UACGGGGGGGGCAAGCGUUGUUCGGAAUUACUGGGCGUAAAGGGCUCGUAGGCGCCAACUAAGUCAGACGUGAAAAUCCCUCGGCUUAACCGGGGAACUGCGUCUGAUACUGGAUGGCUUGAAUCGGGAGAGGGAUGCGGAAUUCCAGGUGUAGCGGUGAAAUGCGUAGAUAUCUGGAGGAACACCGGUGGCGAAGGCGGCCCUCUG